rnacentral:rRNA from 1 species
UACGGAGGGUGCAAGCGUUAUCCGGAUUCACUGGGUUUAAAGGGUGCGUAGGAGGACAGGUAAGUCAGUGGUGAAAUCUCCAAGCUUAACUUGGAAACUGCCGUUGAUACUAUCUUUCUUGAAUACCGUGGAGGUGAGCGGAAUAUGUCAUGUAGCGGUGAAAUGCUUAGAUAUGACAUAGAACACCAAUUGCGAAGGCAGCUCGCUACACGAAUAUUGACUCUGAGGCACGAAAGCGUGGGGAUCAAACAGG